rnacentral:rRNA from 1 species
AACGAACGCUGGCGGCGCGCUUAACACAUGCAAGUCGAACGAGAAGCUGUAGCAAUACAGUUGUACAGUGGCGAACGGGUGAGGAAUACAUGGGUAACCUACCCUCGAGUGGGGAAUAACCAGCCGAAAGGCUGGCUAAUACCGCGUACGCUUCCCAGUCUGCGGGUUGGGAAGGAAAGCUCUACCGUGGGUAGAGCGCUCAAGGACGGGCUCAUGUCCUAUCAGCUUGUUGGAGGGUAACGGCCUACCAAGGCAACGACGGGUAGCUGGUCUGAGAGGACGAUCAGCCACACUGGCACUGCGACACGGGCCAGACUCCUACGGGAGCAGCAGUGAGGAAUAUUGCGCAAUGGGCGACAGCCUGACGCAGCGACGCCGCGUGGGGGA